GUUGGCAGAUAACAAGCAAAAAAAAAGUUUCAACAAGAAAAGGCCAUCCAUCCAUCAACCGAUGGACUUUUUGUGAAUGUCCGUCAGGUGCCAAUGUCGACCGAUACGAUAAAAAACUAUCUAGUCCAUUUGAAAAACAACAAAACUGUUUGAAAGUGAGGGGGGAUUCCGGUUUGAUAGCGAUCCAGCUCCGGAAUGUUGUUAUUCCGUUUUCACAGGUUUCUUCUUCCUUUUGGAAAAAGCGAAAGUCACGUGAUAACCGAUUCUCCCACACAGCCGGUAACUAAGGAAAAAAGAAGCCGCAAGGAAAGAGAAGACAAUACCUGGAUAUCUUUCGUGGAAAUUGGACUGACUAUUGGCGCUGUGCUGGUAAUUGAAAUCUCGGUGUUGCCAGGCCAGAGGCGUGCGUGAAUCCAAGUCGACACGAUCGUUGGAACUGCUCUGGCGGGAGCGUUCGCGCUCACGUUCACGACGAUCCAUUCGCCGUUCCAUUCACGACCGCCGAUUUGAAGGAGGAAAAAAACACGCACACACACAAGGUACACUUACACACACACGGAUAAUAAUGGAAUUUUCAAACUCUCUGUGGGAAGAUGGGUGAAGGUGAACAAACCAACAAUGUUUGUUUCUCUCUAAUUCUUUUUCUCACAUCCGCACCGGACCGGAACUACGGCCGGAUUGAAUAGAAAGGAAAUAUAACCCCCCUACGCCACUAUUUGUUGGGCUUCACUUGGGAGUAGAAAAACCGGUUUUGUGUGUGUGUGGUUCUUUAAGAAAAUCUUUUUUGAUGAGUUGUGAAAAAGAUAAAAAUGACACGGUGCGGAGUAAAGGAGAGAGAGGUCCGUUCGGAUCCGCUUCACAGUGUCGACUGGCCUGCGCGUAGCCGAGUCACUUUGGCUUUACCUUGUCUUUGGUAUAAAAACGGGCGAAGAAGAUGGCCGCCGCCGCCGUACACAUUUUGUGUGUGUUCUUCCCUCUGGCAGAAUUCAUGUCCCUACCCUUUUCCCUGCUCAAGUCAUCGACCUAUGUAAUGUCUAGUAUACCUUCCUUCCUUCUUCUUCUUCUUCUUCUUAUUCGGUUCUUCUUCUUCUUCUCCUUUUUGCGCCGCCCGCCAUUGGAGUGUGGGACCAAAUUCUCCGUUGCAUUUUUACCUGGUGGUGGAAGAGGUAGGGAAGGAAGUUGUUUUUUUUUUUUCUUCUAGGAGCAUUCAAUAAUUUGAAUAGCUCCUAUAUAGCUAAGGCCAUUUGGCUUGGAGAUGAGAUGGUAGAACACACACACCGAAAUAUAGACAAUCACACGGUCUAUGCGAUAUAUCUAUGAGCUCGCACAAUGUGUAUGUACCGGUGUAUCUACUUCCCGGCUGGGUUACUCCCGACAAACAAUUACCGAAUCUGGGUGACGGUUUAUUUGGCUAACAAUUGGGUGCCGUUGUUGUUGUUGUUGUUGUUGGCUGUUGGCUGUCCCAUUUGCUAUUAUUCAGAUGACAUAAUACGAUGAGCAGACCUUUUUUUUGUGUGUGUGUCGUGCAGUCGUCACGAGCCGCAUAAGAAAAAAUUGCUCACCUGGAAAUAAAGAUGAAGAAAUGAUUCUUUCGGGAUUUGAUGAUAAUAAUGCACGUAACGUUCGCUUUGAUGUUGCCUUUUAACGAGAUGAGAAAACAGUUUUUCUUUUGGG
rnacentral:lncRNA from 1 species